rnacentral:rRNA from 1 species
CAGCCUAACACAUGCAAGUCGAGCGGAUGACGGGAGCUUGCUCCUUGAUUCAGCGUGCGGACGGGUGAGUAAUGCCUAGGAAUCUGCCUGGUAGUGGGGGACAACGUUUCGAAAGGAACGCUAAUACCGCAUACGUCCUACGGGAGAAAGCAGGGGACCUUCGGGCCUUGCGCUAUCAGAUGAGCCUAGGUCGGAUUUAGCUAGUUUGGUGGGGUAAUGGCUCACCAAGGCGACGAUCCGUAAACUGGUCUGA